GACGAACGCUGGCGGCGUGCUUAACACAUGCAAGUCGAACGGAAAGGCCCUGCUUUUGUGGGGUGCUCGAGUGGCGAACGGGUGAGUAACACGUGAGUAACCUGCCCUUGACAUUGGGAUAACUUCAGGAAACUGGGGCUAAUACCGGAUAGGAGCUCCUGCUGCAUGGUGGGGGUUGGAAAGUGUCGGCGGUUGGGGAUGGACUCGCGGCUUAUCCGCUUGUUGGUGGGGUAGUGGCUUACCAGGGCUUCGACGGGUAGCCGGCCUGAGAGGGUGACCGGCGACAUGAGGACUGAGGGACGGCCCAGACGCCAACGGGAGGCAGCAGUGGGGAAUAUUGCACAAUGGGCGGGAGCCUGAUACGGCGACGCCGCGUGCGGGAUGACCGCUUUCGGGUUGUAAACCGCUUUCGCCUGUGACGAAGCGUGAGUGACGGUAAUGGGUAAAGAAGCACCGGCUAACUACGUG
rnacentral:rRNA from 1 species